rnacentral:rRNA from 1 species
AGUGAACACUGGCGGUAGGCCUAACACAUGCAAGUCGAACGGCAGCACAGUAAGAGCUUGCUCUUACGGGUGGCGAGUGGCGGACGGGUGAGGAAUACAUCGGAAUCUACUUUUUCGUGGGGGAUAACGUAGGGAAACUUACGCUAAUACCGCAUACGACCUACGGGUGAAAGCAGGGGAUCUUCGGACCUUGCGCGAUUGAAUGAGCCGAUGUCGGAUUAGCUAGUUGGCGGGGUAAAGGCCCACCAAGGCGACGAUCCGUAGCUGGUCUGAGAGGAUGAUCAGCCACACUGGAACUGAGACACGGUCCAGACUCCUACGGGAGGCAGCAGUGGGGAAUAUUGGACAAUGGGCGCAAGCCUGAUCCAGCCAUACCGCGUGGGUGAAGAAGGCCUUCGGGUUGUAAAGCCCUUUUGCUGGGAAAGAAAAGCAGCAGGUUAAUACCCCGCUGUUCUGACGGUACCCAAAGAAUAAGCACCGGCUAACUUCGUG